ensembl:misc_RNA Metazoa_SRP Metazoan signal recognition particle RNA
GCCGGGCGUGGUGGCGCACGCCUGUAAUCCCAGCUACUCUGGAGGCUGAGGUGGGAAGAUCGCUUGAGUCCAGGAGUUCUCGGCUGCAGUGCGCUAUGCCGAUCGGGUGUCCGCACUAAAUUCGGCAUCAAUAUAGUGACCUCCCGGGAGCGGGGGACCACCAGGUUGCCUAAGGAGGGGUGAACUGGCCCGGGUCGGAAACGGAGCAGGUCAAAAGUAUAUUAGUUGCUAGGGCUGUCCUACUCUGUAGUGCAGACUGGGUGGCUGAAACAAAACACAUUUGAU